rnacentral:rRNA from 1 species
UACGGAGGGUGCAAGCGUUGUCCGGAUUCACUGGGCUUAAAGGGUGCGUAGGUGGGCAGGUAAGUCAGUGGUGAAAUCUCCGGGCUUAACCCGGAAACUGCCAUUGAUACUAUUUGUCUUGAGUACCGUGGAGGUCAGCGGAAUAUGUCAUGUAGCGGUGAAAUGCUUAGAUAUGACAUAGAACACCAAUUGCGAAGGCAGCUGGCUACACGAAUAUUGACACUGAUGCACGAAAGCGUGGGGAGCAAACAGG